GUAAUACUCUCUCCGACUAACAAAAGAUGUCUCAAAUUUGUCAAAAUUUGAACGUACUUAGACAUGACUUAGUGUAUAGAUGCAUUUAAAUUUAAUCAAAGUUGAUACUUCUUUUAUUGGACGGAGGAAAUAUAAU
rnacentral:pre_miRNA from 1 species